rnacentral:rRNA from 1 species
GCCUGUUCAUACCACUCUGAACCCACCCAAUCUUGGAAGGUAAGCAGGGUCAGGCCUGGUCAUACUUGGACAGGAGACCACCUGGGAAUAUCAGGUGCUGUAAGCU